rnacentral:rRNA from 1 species
AAGGGGAGUGAAAUAGAACCUGAAACCGUGUGCUUACAAGUAGUCAGAGCCCGUUAAUGGGUGAUGGCGUGCCUUUUGUAGAAUGAACCGGCGAGUUACGAUUUGAUGCAAGGUUAAGCAGUAAAUGUGGAGCCGUAGCGAAAGCGAGUCUGAAUAGGGCGUUUAGUAUUUGGUCGUAGACCCGAAACCAGGUGAUCUACCCUUGGUCAGGUUGAAGUUCAGGUAACACUGAAUGGAGGACCGAACCGACUUACGUUGAAAAGUGAGCGGAUGAACUGAGGGUAGCGGAGAAAUUCCAAUCGAACCUGGAGAUAGCUGGUUCUCUCCGAAAUAGCUUUAGGGCUAGCCUCAAGUGAUGAUUAUUGGAGGUAGAGCACUGUUUGGACGAGGGGCCCCUCUCGGGUUACCGAAUUCAGACAAACUCCGAAUGCCAAUUAAUUUAACUUGGGAGUCAGAACAUGGGUGAUAAGGUCCGUGUUCGAAAGGGAAACAGCCCAGACCACCAGCUAAGGUCCCAAAAUAUAUGUUAAGUGGAAAAGGAUGUGGCGUUGCCCAGACAACUAGGAUGUUGGCUUAGAAGCAGCCAUC